CCGCCAGCAAAGCCAAACGACGCCGCUGACUCCCACCUGUUUCUGUGCUUUGAUUGUAUUUGGGUUUGGUAGUAUUGAUGAAGAUGGUGGAAUGGUGAUGGUAGAAGUUGUGUAUGGCUCUGUCUUUUGUUAUUUUCUGGAAAUGAUGAUGAUAAAAAAAAAUGGUUAGGUGUUGUAGAUGUCUGAUGAGAUAAUUGNUGAGAGGUUUCUGUUGAGUGAAUCAGUGAUUAGAGAAGCCGUGUCUGUCGAGUGAUAGAGAGAAAAAAAUGAGUGUAUCUGGUGAGUCUGAUUGUUACGAGUGUGGUGAUGGGAGAAUCCAGAUUGUGCGUGAUGGGUGAUUGUGGCAAGGAUCAUGAUUCGGUUGGUUUGAUUUCCUUUUUUCUUUUUUUUCUUUGUAUUUCUGUGAUGGAAGAAAUUAAUCAAGGGUGGAUGAUGAUAAUGGGAUCAAGGGCGAGAGAGAUGAUGGAUUCUGUUAUNUGUUACCGUGUUUAAGCAUGAUGUAUGUGGUGAGCCAAAAAGGGUAGUGUCGUGUGUGUGAACAAUUCUCUUGGGUCAACAAUUCUGUUGUGUCAUAAGGUGUAUCGAGGGUGAUGGCAUUUUUGAGUGAUCGUGCUGUUGGAGGUGGUUAUGAGUUAAGCAUAGCAGAGUGGUGGAAAAAUGAUGUGUAAUCUGUUAUUCCCAUUUUUUUUACAACAAACCUUUUUUUUCUUUUUUUUUCUUUUACGUUCUUUUUUCAUUUUUUUUCUUAUAUAAAAUCAAAACUAAAAUAAUCAAUAAAAAUAAAAUCAAAAAGGAAAAAGGAAAAUCAUAAUGGAAAAAGUAAAGUAAAAUAAAAAUAAAAAAAAACAACAAAAAGAAAUUAACAUAAAAGAGAAUAAUAGAAAGUAAAAUAAAAACUAUAAAUUAAAAUGCAAAUAAAAUGAAAAAUAAAAAAUAAAAAAAAUGAAAAUAAAAUAAGACAAAAACAAAAAUUAAGUCCUAUUAUUCAAUCACCCGGACGAAAUUGGGUGUUGACAUAGUUUUC
rnacentral:lncRNA from 1 species